UGCAAUCUCUCUCAAAAUACAUUUUGAAAAAUUGUAAAUUUGACCAGGGCACCUGGCUGGCUCAGUCCAUAGAGUCUGCUACAGUCUUGAUCUGGAGUGGUGCUUUGAUGAAGUCUUAACUCCUCACCAUUAACUAGAAAGUGCUACAUGAUCUGUCCCCUGCUCUUCCUUGAAGGCCAGCACGUUGAUCCGCUCCCACACUGACUCCAGUACGCCAACACUGGCCUGAUUUCUGUCCUACAAAUACGGCAGGCCUCUGGGCCUUUGCACUUGCUAGUCAGCCUGGGAUGCACUUUUGCGGUGAUUAAGAGCAAGAAUUAGAGUCCAAUUGGCUUUAGAUCCGAGCUUUGCUACUUACCAGCACUUUGACCUGGGCACGUUGCUUAAUUGCUCCGUGUCCGUUUCCUUCUCUGUAAAAUGCCAAGUAGAAACAGUACUUCACUCAUAGGGUUGUUUGAAGAUGAACUGCAUUAAUACAUGGAAAAUGUCACGGACGGUGCCUGGUAUAUUAAAAUGUCUUUUGAGUGUUUGGAA